GUAAUCGCAAUAUAAAGAUAGCACACUUUUGAACACCCGCAAUAUAAAGCUAGCACACUUUAGAACAUCAGUCAAACAACAACAACAACAAAGCAACAAAGCCUUUAGUCCCAAACAAGUUGGGUAGGCUAAAGGUGAAACCAAUAAGAUCUCGCAACAACUCAUGACUCUGGCACAUAGAUAGCAAGCUUCCACGCACCCCUGUCCAUAGCUAGUUCUUUGGUGAUACUCCAAUCCAUCAGGUCUCUUUUAACGGACUCCUCCCAUGUCAAAUUCGGUCUACCCCGCCCUCUCUUGACAUUCUCCGCACGCUUUAGCCGUCCAUUAUGCACUGGAGCUUCUGAAGGCCUGCGCUGAAUAUGCCCAAACCAUCUCAGACGAUGUUGGACAAGCUUCUCCUCAAUUGGUGCUACCCCAACUCUAUCUCGUAUAUCAUCAUUCCGGACUCGAUCCUUCCUCGUGUGGCCACACAUCCAUCUCAACAUACGCAUCUCCGCCACACCUAACUGUUGAACAUGUCGUCUUUUAGUCGGCCAACACUCCGCGCCAUACAACAUUGCGGGUCGAACCGCCGUCCUGUAGAACUUGCCUUUUAGUUUUUGUGGCACUCUCUUGUCACAGAGAAUGCCAGAAGCUUGGCGCCACUUCAUCCAUCCGGCUUUAAUUCGAUGGUUCACAUCUUCAUCAAUAUCCCAUCCUCCUGCAACAUUGACCCCAAAUACCGAAAGAUGUCCUUCCGAGGUAUCACCCGGCCAUCAAGCCUAACCUCCUCCUCCUCACACCUAGUAGUACUGAAACCGCACAUCAUGUACUCGGUUUUAGUUCUACUAAUAAGCCUAAACCCUUUCGAUUCCAAGGUUUGUCUCCAUAACUCAACUUCCUAUUUAUCAACAUCAGUCAAACACCAACAACAUAAUUCCACAUCAAGAACAGCUGGUACAGCCAAUAUCAAUGUCUUCCUGGCUCUAAUAAGAAUAUUGCUCCGUACAAGUAAGAAACCAGAUUACACUGCACACAAGCAUGCAGUGCAAAAUUUCCAAGGUAUAACAUAGCUCAGCGCCCCCUGCCACGACCGCGCCCACGACCACGGCCGCGCCCACGACCCAUAGGUUUCCCUGCA
rnacentral:lncRNA from 1 species